UACGUAGGGGGCAAGCGUUGUCCGGAAUCAUUGGGCGUAAAGAGCGUGUAGGCGGCUCGGUAAGUCCGCUGUGAAAGUCGGGGGCUCAACCCUCGAAAGCCGGUGGAUACUGUCGGGCUAGAGUGCGGAAGAGGCGAGUGGAAUUCCUGGUGUAGCGGUGAAAUGCGCAGAUAUCAGGAGGAACACCGAUUGCGAAGGCGGCGCCCUGGGUCGAUACUGACGCUGAUGCGCGAAAGCGUGGGGAGCAAACAGG
rnacentral:rRNA from 1 species